GCAGUCGAACGCUGAAGCACCAGCUUGCUGGUGUGGAUGAGUGGCGAACGGGUGAGUAAUACGUGAGUAACCUGCCCUUGACUCUGGGAUAAGCCCGGGAAACUGGGUCUAAUACUGGAUGCUACAUGUCACCGCAUGGUGGUGUGUGGAAAGGGUUUACUGGUCUUGGAUGGGCUCACGGCCUAUCAGCUUGUUGGUGAGGUAAUGGCUCACCAAGGCGACGACGGGUAGCCGGCCUGAGAGGGUGACCGGCCACACUGGGACUGAGACACGGCCCAGACUCCUACGGGAGGCAGCAGUGGGGAAUAUUGCACAAUGGGCGAAAGCCUGAUGCAGCGACGCCGCGUGAGGGAUGACGGCCUUCGGGUUGUAAACCUCUUUCAGCAGGGAAGAAGCCACAAGUGACGGUACCUGCAGAAGAAGCGCCGGCUAACUACGUGCCAGCAGCCGCGGUAAUACGUAGGGCGCAAGCGUUGUCCGGAAUUAUUGGGCGUAAAGAGCUCGUAGGCGGUUUGUCGCGUCUGCUGUGAAAGCCCGGGGCUUAACCCCGGGUGUGCAGUGGGUACGGGCAGACUAGAGUGCAGUAGGGGAGACUGGAAUUCCUGGUGUAGCGGUGGAAUGCG
rnacentral:rRNA from 1 species